GAAGCGACUUAGCAUGCCCACAGGGAACUAAGAUCUUACAUGCCCACUGGGUCCAUCAAGAGCCUAAGGCGCUACAGCAACCGAGGGCAAGUCACCUGCAGUGUCCCCACCACAACCACACAGAACACUCCCAGACCCACAAGAAAUUGCUGUUUGAGGAGGAGCCACACGUGGGGAUCAAAAGCCCCAACACACUACUCACAGGUCUCAACGUCAGUUCGCCCCAAGCUAGUCUUGGAA